CAGAUUCCCUGCAACUGACGGACACAGGUGGAGCGCAAACCACCGGGGAGCAGGGAGUUCCGUAAUCAGAUGCACCGUGAAGUGUAUCUCAAUGCCGACCGUCUGGGCAGUGUCG
rnacentral:ncRNA from 10 species